CGACAACUCUUAGACUCAGACUUAGAACUCUUACAGGUUUUUAUUCAAAUUCAGAUACCUUGAAAUUCAGAUACUUUGAUACUCUGAUACUUUGAUAUUUUAAUAUUUGAAUACUUAAUAUUUUGGUACUUUUGAUUCGAACAGAAUAAUUGUUUAUGUUUUAAUUACAAUUGUAUUAAUGUUUUGAUUAAUACUGGUUGGGUUCAAUCCAUCAUAAAUGGAUUGUUAUUAAAAAUGUACUAACAUUGGAUUUACAUUUUCUAUAUUUGAAGGUUGUUACUAUUAUCCAGAACUUUAUUUCCAAGUUAUGAUUUGUGGUUUCUGUUCUCUAUAUUCUUUUUAAUAAAUUUACAUAUUAUUACACCUUGACCGUCUGAAUUGGAUUAAAUUUUGCAUCAGUUUAUGGAGGCACCGCUGGGAUAGAUCGAUCCUUGAAGUACAUUUGAUGCAUCGCAAGGAAAGAUAAAGAGAGGUUAGUUGCUCAUCUAAUUCUCUUUAUGGGAUUCUGUUGUGCAAACCUGCCGAGUCUAAGAGCUAUAUCUGCGGACCCAUUUCGUUCAUUUUUCUUGACUGCAGCAAGAGAACGAAUUUGGGGCGGUACGGUGGUUUAACCGUGUGUGAGGAAUGAGCGCGCGCUCUGUGUUUGAGAACGGCGAUUUGCGGCAUUAAAUGUGUCGUGCACUGAAGGGGUUUACCGACAGUGUGGAUAAUUCUGCGUAGCAAGUACACUUUGCGGGGUUUACCGGAGGUGUAUUGCGGGCGCUUUCAGGGUUUACUGAAGCGCAACAGUUUUUGAGACACGCGCUGUCAGGGAUUACUGCAGCGUGCUGGUCAGAUCUGUAUGUCGAUUCUCUGUUUUGAUAUAGGCUCUGGGAUGGACUCGGCAGUCUUGACACUGGCAGAAUUCCACCUUGCGACUAAAUUCUAAAAUCCAUAUAUUUUGACAAUUGUUUGACUGUGGCAGAAUACCACAUUGUAACUAAGUUUAACUCUGUAUAAUUGUUAUAAUUGUCAGACGGCUAAUUAAGUUAAACAAAUUAAGAGUAAAGAGAACACCACCAAAUGUAACAAUUUAAUUAAGUUAAUUUAAUUAAGUGUAUUUAAUUGAGUGUAUCUGAAUUGAAUAAAACUUUUUCUUUGUUGGGGGUGUCAACACACGAAGUAAUGGCUCAUGUGUAUGUAAAAGGAGCUCCUAACGAAGCUCUCACUGCUCAAGUACCGAUGUUAGGCAUCAGAAAUAAAGAAAAGAUUAAAGAGAAAAUGGCUAAAGAUGAAUUUAAAGAAAUAUGGGGUCCGUAGGCAGUGUGAAUUCGGGGUGAUGAAGGAAGUUAAUAAGUUAAUGAUCCUAAGAAACAAAAGAAAUAUGCACGAGUUUUGUGUUGUUUGAGGAUUGUGCAAGCAAAAGGUCUUUUAACAUAUCGCAAUGGAAGAAUAGUUUAUGUGGAUAAACUGGCACAAGCCGCUAGAGAUGCUACGCAAGAUAUGUGGGAUUUAUUAGACAUUGUAACUAAGGAACCAAGAGCAGAUACAGGGAAAGUUCCUAAAAUUGAUGAUAUCUAUAGCUGGCAGGAAUAUGCUUCAAAACUGAAAGCAGCGAUUGCCAAGGCAGGGAGAGAUGUGACGAAUGUUUCUGAAAACGGUGGUAUACAGGUUGCAGCUAUUUCUCCUGGGGACCUGGAGGAAACUGAGAAUGAGUGGGGCAAGUAUGUGAAACUGCGUCCAAAAUUACCCCGCUAUAGUGAAAUAGAUCUGGAAUUGAUGGCGGCUGGUCAAGUGGGGGUUUAUCGAUCUAUGGGUGUGCGAGAUUUGACUAGUAUUGUAAAUACACUGCCACUCAUGAAAUCUAACAGUACCAAUUCUGAACGUUUGUGGGUAAUGGCAAGAGUCAACCGCCUAGCAGUAAAAGAUCUGUAUUCAAUUUGUGAGCAGGUCUGCCCGUCUACACGGGACAGAUUGUUAAUCUCACCCCUCCUUUACAGCCACCUGCGAAUCUAGAUGAUUACGCAACUCAGUACAGAGUGCUGCGUACUGAAGUACAGCCUAUAAUUGUAAAUGGAAUUCAAACUUUCACUAAUGUGACAAUGAUUAGGCAGGGUCCUAAUGAACCAUUUGUUGAUUACACUGAGCGAUUCACAAAGGCACUGAAAGAAUUUGUGGCAGCACGAGGGGGGGGCCUGACUUAGAUUCUCCAAUCAUGCUCCACACUGCGCAGUCAAAUAUGAAUGCUAAAUUUACACAGUUGUUUCAUUCUUCUCUGCCAACAAUAAUUGACUGGUCUUCUUUUGUAGCAUGGGGGACACGAGCUCAAGACAUCGUGGAACAACAAAAGAAGGGACUGGUUGCUGCAGUUGGUCAGCCCUCUGCUCCAGCAUUUCGCUGUUAUCAUUGCCAGCGCGAUGGUCACUACACAAACAGGUGCCCUGAUCAAAAUUUAGAGCGAAAUUUCAGAAAGCCUAGUUCCUCUUUUCAACAACAGCAGACACCAAAACCACUUCCUCGAGAUUGUGCUUAAAAAUAACCCUGGUGCAGAGAAGCAGGGUGCUGACAUGGAGAAUCAGAUAAAACAAACUCAUGCAGCAGGUUGAAAAAUUGACAAGAGCUUUUGAGAAUACAGACUGACAGAUAGUGGCCUCCAUUUUAUAUGAGCAUGAAGACCCUCGUCCAUUUUUUUACAUUCUAACCUAGGAGGCCAGGAUAGCUACAUUCUUGUGGGCCCCCGGGUCUGCAUCUCAGUAACUGUUAUUAAUUUGCCUUUAACAAACAAACAAAUGCAUCUUCAAGGUAUAUCUGGUCACAGUCUUUUCACACAGUCUCUAUUGAUUUCUCCAAUAAUAUAUCCAUUUGAACAGCCUUUUUGUGUGCAAUUCUGGGUUGGAGAAAGCCAAGUUGGCAUGGUAAUGGGAAUGGAUAUAUUGAGUAAAUUGGAAGCAGAUGUUUUGCUGACUAGGGGUCAAUUAAUUAGUCAGUGUUUACCAAUUCCCAUACCAGUGUUUAAUAAAACUGGAAUUUCUAAAUUAAGCCUUGGAGCUAUCACAGUUAAUGAAGUCACAGAGGUCUACUGAUUCCUCAGUGAUACAAUAUUUCUCUGAGAAAUUUCCAAAUUUGUGGUCAACUUCUAAACUUGAUGUUGGUCUUGGCAGGAUUGAGCCUUUGAAUGUUUCAGGUCGGUCCAUCCUAUACAUCCUCCAGUAUUCCAGUAUCCUCUUUAGAGAGAAGCAGAGUGAGCUGCACAGGAAAUUGUGAACCAGCUUCAGGAAUCAGGGAUUUUGGUAAGGUGUACUUCCUCAAUGAACUUACCUAUGCAGCCUGUGUGAAAAAAAUAAAUAAAUAAAAAGCCAGAUGGUAGCUAUAGGUUAACUAUAGACUACACCGCAUUGAAUGCUGUGACUCCUAAAAUAACUCCUAUUGUUGCUAACCCGUCAACCAUCCUCAAUGACAUUUCUCCGAACCAUUGCUAUUUUAGCGCAGUAGACAUAACCAAUGGUUUUUGGUCUUGUCCUAUCAGAAGAGAAGAUCAAUACAGAUUUGCCUUUCAAUAUUGUGACGACAUUCUUCUCACAUCUCAAGACAAAGCACAACACUUGAGUGUACUCACUCGGUUGUUGAAAGCUCUCCAAGAGGCGGGUUUCCUCUUGAACAAAUGAAAAGCCCAAUUGUUUCAAUCGGAAGUUACAUUUUUAUGUCAAAGUAUAGGUCGUGAGGGAAAGAGACCUCUUCCAGACCGGGUCAUAGCCAUUACUCAAUUCAAUAAGCCAACCACAGUUACUGGUUUAAGAUCAUUAAUGGGGCUAUUUAAUUUUAAUCGGAUGUAUAUCCCAGAUAUUUUUCUGAUUUGGCUAAACCUCUAACAGAGGCUCUUAAAGGAGGCCUUCCGGGUGCUUCCCCUUUGGAGUGGACAGCAGACAUGGCUGAGUCCUUUACUCUCCUCAAAUCCACAUUACUCUCCUCUCCCGCGUUAUAUCACCCCGACAUGACAAAGACAUUCCAUGUAUGGACACAUGUUGGCCCAAGUGCUUAUAACUGUGUGCUGGGACAAUGUAAAGGUGACAAAAGUUAUGGCAUUGUUGGGUAUUAUUCAACUUUGAUUCCCUCUUCCAUGAAUGGACAGAUGCCAGAUGCCAUCGUUUUCUACGCCUGCUCGCAGAGACAAAAAUAAAGUCGAUUUCAAAUCAACGACGUGCAAAAUGGGAAACUGCUCUCAUGAACCCUCAGCUCACUGUUGUUGCAGACAACCGGACAAAUUCUGCCUCCCUAAUGGAGAAUGAGGGGAGUGCACACGACUGCGCUGAGGUAAUUAUCUGUGACAGGGGACAUUUUGUCAGAGAUUAACUGUUUUCAGAUUCUCUGGCCAUGUUCGUGGAUGGCAGCAGUUUCUACUCUACGAGGGUGACACGCGCUAUACGGGCUGGGCGGUAGUAGAAGGGAAGACGGGCGAGGUCUUGGCUGAGGGGUCGCUUCGGGGAGGAAGUGCUCAGAUAGCUGAAUUGCAUGCUUUGAAAGCUGCCUUAAAUCUGGCUCUUAAACUAACUGCAGGUGAAAAUAGCUCCACUAAUAUAAAUAUUUUUACUGAUAGUGCAUACAGAUACCAUGUAUUGCAGAGUUAUGUCCCUGUUUGGAAACAUCGUGGUUAUUUGACCACAGCGGGUACUCCAAUAAGUCAUCAAACCAUGAUUGAAGAAAUUCUUGACACGUGUGAGAAAAUUCCACCAAACAGUGUCACGGUGUGUAAAGUCACAGUACUUUCAAUGAUUGGUUGGCGAAAGGAAACUCUCUAGCUGAUAAGGCUGCGAGAGAAGCUGCAAAGGGUGUGGCACUUGAGGAAGUAGUUGUUAUUUUCCCUGUUCAUCCUGAUUGCAUGGGUUCCGAAACUUUAUCUAAAUUGUACACAACUGAGGAUCGUGAAAUGUGUCAAAAAUUAGGAGCUACCUUAACUGAAGAAGGGGUUUAUGCUCUGAAUGACAAAGUCAUUCCGCCUAGCGGAUAUCAAACCAAACUGAACUAAUUGAUCUGUACCAGAGCAUUGCACACCAAGGGGUUCAGAAAACAUAUGCUAUGUUACAACAAACAUGGUUUUGGUCAGAGAUGUUACAAACUGUGAAGGAUAGACUGUCCAGAUGUAUCCACUGUUUGCAAAACGAAGCCAUAAUUUGGAAAAGGUAAAAUCCCAAUUGGUCACAGUCCUCGCCGGUGAGGACCAUUCACACAUUUACAAUUGGAUGUUAUUUGGUUACCUUCUGAUUAUGGGUACAAAUAUGUACUAGUUUUUGUCUGUAAAUUUUCCAGAUGCUCUGAAAGGGUAUAUUGGAUUUUCAGUCCCUCUCAUUGCACCAUGGUUCGGGAAUGAUAGAUUUUCAUAAAAUAGGGGUAACUUUACUGGGAUUUAGGUUUAUAAGCAAUGUCUGUAUUUGGUAACUGUGAGGUGACUGAGGGUCUGACCUAUGUCAGGAAUGCAAUAACAGUGAUUAUUCAUUUAGCCCGGCUUCCAGAGAAUAAUACAUAUAUAUGUUUAUGGCAAUAAAUUUAUUUUACGAUAUAACAAAUUAAUCAAAAUUCAUCAUAGUUGUAUAAGACAUAUAAAAAGAAUUCAAAUAAGUCAAAUUUCUUUCUAAAAAGGUCUUUGGGUUUAACUGUACAUUCCCCUACAGCUCCAUUAUUGCUCGUAGGUCCCUCGGGUCCAUUGAAGGACACUUUACAGGAGUAUCUUAAAGUACUCACGUGCGCAUUAAGAAUGCCCAUUUCAGUGCCCUCAGUGCUCAACAUGCUGGAGAUCUUAAAAACGCUAUAUUCAAUGUAAAGGUUAAAAAUCACGUACAAGUGGGGGACAAAGUGAUGAUACAGAAAAUAGGGAACUUAUGUUAGGACCAAUGUCCUCCAGGUAUGAGGGUCCUUCUUCGGUGUUGUUGACUACUCCAACAUCUCUUCUUGUUGAAAUCGAGCCAGGGCUGACUCGAUGGAUGCAUCUUGCACAAGUGAAGCCUCUGUCGCCGCUUGCCGAUACUAACUCUCUCUCUAAUGUGAUUUAGUCCAACAGGUGCAGUACUUUAUAUCCAAGGAAUGGCUUCUAAGGAAGAACAAUGACUAAUUGUUUCCUCUCUUUAGGUUCUCAACUAUGAUUCCAUCCGGACCUGUUGUGUUAAUAUAUAUAUAUAUAAAAAAAGAGAAACUGAAAACCAUGGUGUUUGUGUUUAUGUGUAUUGGUGUUGUCCUGUUUGGUUGUCUAUGUGUCGUUGUGUGUGUUGUGUUUUUAUCCAAAAAUUUCUGCUCCUACUAUUCUAUAUCUCUAAAAGGUACGAGUGCAUGCUGUCACAGAAAUAUUCUGCGUAUAUUUACCACACACGACUGGUUCUAAGGGUGACCCUUUGAUGUGACUUCUGCAACAGUGCAGCUCAUUGACAUUCUGGGAGUGGUUGCUGUGCUCGUGGCUGGACAUCAGUGUUUCAUUGCAUCAUCAUAACAUCACUUGUUUACUAACUCUACGCCAUCUGAGAGACCUGUGCUAAGUCUACCGACAUAUAUAUAUAUACAUUUGUGAAGGGUAAGGAAAGGUUUGAGAUGUUGAAAAUGAUCAACGAAAGUUUGGAAAUUAACGACAUGGUACCAUAAGGACAAAUAUCUUCAACUACUACCUCCCAAGGGCAAGAAGAGAAAGAACGAUGAUAGAGUUUAGAGUUGGGAAAGAUGGAAGGCUGUGGUAAGUCCUCAACCCAGCAAAAGUCCAGGGGACGCCAGGGGUCGAAUUUCCUUAGGAGUUCUCGUCUGGCCAUCUUGGUGAAGAUCUUUGUUAAUUUUAAGGUAGCUGGGGUUAGAGAGGUAUCUACAGUACUAUCUAUCUGAAAUUUUGCUAUUGAUUUUCUAUAUUUUCAUGUAUGCAUCAUGUAUUUUUCUUUUGAAUUACUCUGUAUUUCUGUAUUUUUGGUUUUGAUUUAAGGAAAAGGUUGUGGCGAGUCUUUUGAUAAGACUCGAGUGGGGGAUUGGUGUGUGGAGAUUCUAAGAAAUCCACAUGGUGAUAGAGAUUCUGAGAAGAAGUCCACGUAUUUAAAUUAAACCCAAGUGUUGCUGAGAGAUUCUGAGAAGUCACGUACUCAAAAUGUGUUCUAUUCAUAAUAAGUUUCAUUUCAAAAGUUAAAAAUUAAUAUUUCAUGGUAAGGAUCUGUCUCAUAUAUAUAUAUAUUAACAGGUUUCAUUUUUAUAUUCAAAAAUGUUUUAGGUAAACUUUAUGGUAUAUUUCAUAUGUAAUUUCACAGUAUUUCUAACUGCGUAGUCAGCUGAGUCUGUUUUGCAUAUGAAGUUGAAACAAACUGGAACAACAACGUAUAUAAGAUAGACUCUGCAAAAUAGAAUAGGGUUUGACUUUCUGAGACUCUGGUCUCUCUAUCUUUUCAGCUCACUUCCUCUUCUUUGGCUUCACUCGACAACUCUUAGACUCAGACUUAGAACUCUUACAGGUUUUUAUUCAAAUUCAGAUACCUUGAAAUUCAGAUACUUUGAUACUCUGAUACUUUGAUAUUUUAAUAUUUGAAUACUUAAUAUUUUGGUACUUUUGAUUCGAACAGAAUAAUUGUUUAUGUUUUAAUUACAAUUGUAUUAAUGUUUUGAUUAAUACUGGUUGGGUUCAAUCCAUCAUAAAUGGAUUGUUAUUAAAAAUGUACUAACAUUGGAUUUACAUUUUCUAUAUUUGAAGGUUGUUACUAUUAUCCAGAACUUUAUUUCCAAGUUAUGAUUUGUGGUUUCUGUUCUCUAUAUUCUUUUUAAUAAAUUUACAUAUUAUUACACCUUGACCGUCUGAAUUGGAUUAAAUUUUGCAUCUAGUAAUUCUUAAAACCUGUCUAAAGGUUCAAAUAUUUUCCAUUGCUUCCGUUUUUAUGCUCUUUAUUGUUCUUUAAAAGUGUCUUGAGGUUUUUUGUUUUUUUU
ensembl:lncRNA